CAAAGACCGAAACAAUGUUAGUACCUAAGGACAAAAAAAAUCUUUUUUACACCCUCUUAUUCAUACUAAGUUUUGUAGAAAGCUGUUCAAGAAAAAAGCACAAAGAGACUACUCCAACUCCAAUAAAGUACAUAGAAAAAGUACAAAGCUCAACGAAAAUGGAGGAAUUUUGUGAGUAUCCUAUGAAAUAUAAGGUUUUUAUUUGUGAUUUAAACAUCAUAUGGAAAGAUCGUCCAUGUUAUCUUAUGAGUGCAUUUGAAACUGGGACGAGGUGGAGAGUGGGCAGUCCCCUUCAGAUUUUUGUCGAUACAAUUUGCUUCUCCUUUUAGUUCAAAAAUUAUAUCUGCCUCACUGAUUUGUAAAUAGAAUAAUGGUAUAUAAGUUCCAAUGCGCAGUUAGAACUUUUAAAGUAAGGUAACCAUUUCAGGAUGUUACUACACAAAUAUAGCAAGUCUGGA
rnacentral:lncRNA from 1 species